rnacentral:rRNA from 1 species
GAUGAACGCUGGCGGCGUGCCUAAUACAUGCAAGUCGAGCGAACGGACGAGAAGCUUGCUUCUCUGAUGUUAGCGGCGGACGGGUGAGUAACACGUGGAUAACCUACCUAUAAGACUGGGAUAACUUCGGGAAACCGGAGCUAAUACCGGAUAAUAUUUUGAACCGCAUGGUUCAAAAGUGAAAGACGGUCUUGCUGUCACUUAUAGAUGGAUCCGCGCUGCAUUAGCUAGUUGGUAAGGUAACGGCUUACCAAGGCAACGAUGCAUAGCCGACCUGAGAGGGUGAUCGGCCACACUGGAACUGAGACACGGUCCAGACUCCUACGGGAGGCAGCAGUAGGGAAUCUUCCGCAAUGGGCGAAAGCCUGACGGAGCAACGCCGCGUGAGUGAUGAAGGUCUUCGGAUCGUAAAACUCUGUUAUUAGGGAAGAACAUAUGUGUAAGUAACUGUGCACAUCUUGACGGUACCUAAUCAGAAAGCCACGGCUAACUACGUGCCAGCAGCCGCGGUAAUACGUAGGUGGCAAGCGUUAUCCGGAAUUAUUGGGCGUUAAGCGCGCGUAGGCGGUUUUUUUAAGUCUGAUGUGAAAGCCCACGGCUCAACCGUGGAGGGUCAUUGGAAACUGGAAAACUUGAGUGCAGAAGAGGAAAGUGGAAUUCCAUGUGUAGCGGUGAAAUGCGCAGAGAUAUGGAGGAACACCAGUGGCGAAGGCGACUUUCUGGUCUGUAACUGACGCUGAUGUGCGAAAGCGUGGGGAUCAAACAGGAUUAGAUACCCUGGUAGUCCACGCCGUAAACGAUGAGUGCUAAGUGUUAGGGGGUUUCCGCCCCUUAGUGCUGCAGCUAACGCAUUAAGCACUCCGCCUGGGGAGUACGACCGCAAGGUUGAAACUCAAAGGAAUUGACGGGGACCCGCACAAGCGGUGGAGCAUGUGGUUUAAUUCGAAGCAACGCGAAGAACCUUACCAAAUCUUGACAUCCUUUAACAACUCUAGAGAUAGAGCCUUCCCCUUCGGGGGACAAAGUGACAGGUGGUGCAUGGUUGUCGUCAGCUCGUGUCGUGAGAUGUUGGGUUAAGUCCCGCAACGAGCGCAACCCUUAAGCUUAGUUGCCAUCAUUAAGUUGGGCACUCUAAGUUGACUGCCGGUGACAAACCGGAGGAAGGUGGGGAUGACGUCAAAUCAUCAUGCCCCUUAUGAUUUGGGCUACACACGUGCUACAAUGGACAAUACAAAGGGCAGCGAAACCGCGAGGUCAAGCAAAUCCCAUAAAGUUGUUCUCAGUUCGGAUUGUAGUCUGCAACUCGACUACAUGAAGCUGGAAUCGCUAGUAAUCGUAGAUCAGCAUGCUACGGUGAAUACGUUCCCGGGUCU